rnacentral:rRNA from 1 species
AGUCGUACGAGAACAUGUCCUUCGGGGCAUGGAGUAAAGUGGCGCACGGGUGAGUAACACGUGGGUAACCUGCCCUGGGGCUCGGGAUAACCGGCCGAAAGGCCUGCUAAUACCGGAUGAGACCACAUGAGCUCCGGCUCAAGGGGUCAAAGUCGGCCUCUCGACGAAGCCGACACCACAGGAUGGGCCCGCGGACCAUUAGCUUGUUGGUGAGGUAACGGCUCACCAAGGCAAAGAUGGUUAGCUGGUCUGAGAGGAUGAUCACCCACACUGGAACUGAGACACGGUCCAGACUCCUACGGGAGGCAGCAGUGAGGAAUAUUGCGCAAUGGGGGAAACCCCGACGCAUCAACGCCGCGUGUUUGAAAAACCCUAUU